rnacentral:rRNA from 1 species
GAUGAACGCUGGCGGCGUGCCUAAUACAUGCAAGUCGAACGCUGGAAAUCUAUCUUGCUAGAUUGAAGGAGUGGCGAACGGGUGAGUAAUACAUAAGCAACCUACCCACGAAGACAGGGAUAAUCUCUGGAAACGGGGACUAAUACCGGAUAGGUAAUCAGAAGGCAUCUUCUGAUUAUUAAAGGCGAAAAACACUGGUGGAUGGGCUUAUGGCGCAUUAGUUAGUUGGUGAGGUAUCGGCCCACCAAGACGAUGAUGCGUAGCCGGCCGGAGAGGGUGAAAGGCCAGGAUUGAGACACGGCCCAGACCAGACUGGGAGGGAGGACAGGGGAAGGGUAGUCAAUGCGCGGGAGGCUGACCUAACCAUGCAGCGUCGAGGAAGAGAGGACGGGCGUCGUGUACUAAAGCUCUGUUGUAAGAGAAGAACGGUAGAUAGAGAGUAGCUAAAUGACGGUACCUUACGAGAAAGCCACGGCUAACUACGUG